AUUUCUUUAAACGAUUCGUUUAUGUUCACGUGGAUUUUUUUCACACGAUUCGUUUGUUUUGAUUCCAUUUUUACAUGAUUCAUUUAUUUUCACGCGAUUCUUUACAGACGAUCCAUUCAUUUCCCCGUGUGUUUUUAACGUGAUUCAUUUAUGUUCACAUGCAAUAUUCUUCAUGUGAUUCAUUCAGUUUGAUGGGUUUUUUUUUUUUUUUACAUGAAUCGUUUAAUUUCACAGGCGUUGAUUCAGUUAUUCUCACGUCAAUAUGCAUGUUUUUAUUUUAAGAUGUGACCACUUUCCACGUCAUCACAUUGUUCGUGUCAUGUCACGUGUCGACGUGUGCACUUUCAGAGCAUAACAUGUUGAACUGCACGUUCACACCUUUUCCACGUGAUCUCAUAUUACUCGUAUAACCCCAGGUUUUUUUCCAUACACAUCUGAUGACUGCAAUUCAGGACUGUUUGUUUCUGGUCUCACAGUUGGACGGAACGUAUCCUCUUUAUUUGAGGAAUAAUCCUGGCUCACGCCUCGCAGUUUUCUUGGCUUUAGAGCAUCUGUGAUGAAAUCUACAUGAAGGGGAGAAGAGGAUGAGAGGACGAGAGACAGCAAUGCCAGACUCUGCAACCGUCACGCGUUAGCCUGCUGUUUAGAAUGCUUUAAUUUCCUUGACAUAGCGACGCUUUUAUGAUUUAUGCUUUCAGGUAUUUUUUUUUCCCCUUUUCCCUCAGGAAUCAGCGUGAGAACAAAAAACACCGGCAAUAAGCUGGAUAAAGUGCCUGUGUCUCUUCUGCCCCUAUUUAUAUCUAUUAUUCAGGUGUCCCGAGGGAGAGCGACAAUGAAAGAGAUGACACACACACACACACACACAGAGCACUGACACCAGUAAUAAAACAUAAAAGAAGAAAAACCAUCUCUGUCACUGUAAGUGAUGAAGAACUGAUAAAGCUCUGAAUAUAUAUCCAACAUCCUCGAGAAUAUCCACUCUGGGGACUGAGCGAGUGAUUUGCACAGAUUUUUCAUCAUAAGAUUCCUAACAAACGUAACAUUUAAGUUCAUUCACUGUGGCCUGUGAGAUUUAUUAAAAAUACAGUCAUUACUCAGAACCACAGCGGGGCCGAGCGGGGCGGCGGUGUUAAUAGAGUUUCCCAUCAAAAGCUAGGAGAAAAGACCAAUUCAGAACACAGAAUCUUUUUUUUUCCCCCCAUAAGAGUUGUGUUUCGAUGUUUCCGAGAUUAUCACACAACCUCACUCGCCUCAAAGACCUCUCAGUGUGCAGCGGAUCCGCUCUGUCACGAUGCUCCGAACACACACCUCACCUCACCUCACCUCACGAUCACGCUAACAAACAGCAAGGAUGUUGAAAACCGGUUUCCAUGGAAAUGUAUCGAUUCAAUUAUACUGAAAGGGUAACAACGUCGUUGUAAUCUACAACGACAAAAAGAAUCAUUUGUAUGAAUAUAUACGAGUCAGUCGACUCAAAGCUAAAAGAGCGUGUGUAUUGAACGUGUGUAUUGUACGUGUGCAGCGAGCGUGUGCAGCGAGCGUGUGUAUUGAGCGUGUGCAGCGAGCGUGUGCAGCGAGCGUGUGUAUUGAACGUGUGUAUUGAACGUGUGCAGCGAGCGUGUGUAGCGAGCG
ensembl:lncRNA